rnacentral:tRNA from 1 species
GGCUUCGUAGCUCAGCUGGUAGAGCAUGCGCGUACAAAGCGUAGGCGGUGUCCAUGCGUGGGUUCGAAUCCCGCCGAGGCUA